rnacentral:rRNA from 1 species
GACGAACGCUGGCGGCGUGCUUAAUACAUGCAAGUCGAACGGAGUGGCGAAAGGGUGAGUAAAACGCGGGGGACCUGCCCUGCACUGAGGGAUAUGACUGGGAAAAUGGGUCUAAUAUCGGAGAGUGUGGGAGGGGCGCGGGGCCGAUCGGCUUGUUGGUGGGGUAAUGGGCUACCAAGGCGGCGACGGGGAGCAGGCCUGGGAGGGUGGACGGCCACAUUGGGACUCAGAGACGGCCCGUGAUGCUACGGGAGGCAGCGGUGGGGAGUAUUGCACAAUGGGCGGAGGCCUGAUGCUGCGACGCCGCGUGUGGGAAGCCGGCCUUCGAGUUGUAAACUCCUGUCUCCGUCGACGCGGUAGAUGGUGAGAAAGCACCGGCUAACUACGUGCCAGCAGCCGCGGUAAUUC